UACGUAGGGUGCAAGCGUUUGUCCGGAAUUAUUGGGCGUAAGGAGCUCGUAGGCGGUCUGUCGCGUCGGCUGUGAAAACCCGGGGCUCAACCCCGGGCCUGCAGUCGAUACGGGCAGACUAGAGUGCGGUAGGGGAGACUGGAAUUCCUGGUGUAGCGGUGAAAUGCGCAGAUAUCAGGAGGAACACCGGUGGCGAAGGCGGGUCUCUGGGCCGUAACUGACGCUGAGGAGCGAAAGCGUGGGGAGCGAACAGG
rnacentral:rRNA from 1 species